UUUCCUUAUUAAUUGGUUCAAACCAGUUCUUACAGGAACUAGUGGUGAUAAAUGUGGGACUUCUGAGAAGUCAUUCAUUUUAUUCUUUGUGCCAUACCAGAGUACAGUAUCAGCUGAGCUGACCUUACUCUGAGGACUAACUCUUUUGCUGGAAGCGGUUUCUGAUUUACAGCUCUUGGUUUCUCCCAGACAUGUUGGUGGGAGAGAUUUUGGUUUUUAAGGGGUUGUUAGAUGGAGUAAAUUUUCUUUUUUUUUUUUUUUUUUUUUAACUAAAAAGGGGUCACAGAAUUUCAGCAGUUCUCUGAUUUUUAUAUUUUAUUCCUCUUCCUAUCCAAUCCCUGCCUUUUGAGUCCAGGUGGUCCAUCUCUGCAGAAGCCAUUUCAGGAGUACCUGGAGGCUCAACGGCAGAAGCUUCACCACAAAAGCGAAAUGGGCACACCACAGGGAGAAAACUGGUUGUCCUGGAUGUUUGAAAAGUUGGUCGUUGUCAUGGUGUGUUACUUCAUCCUAUCUAUCAUUAACUCCAUGGCACAAAGUUAUGCCAAACGAAUCCAGCAGCGGUUGAACUCAGAGGAGAAAACUAAAUAAGUAGAGAAAGUUUUAAACUGCAGAAAUUGGAGUGGAUGGGUUCUGCCUUAAAUUGGGAGGACUCCAAGCCGGGAAGGAAAAUUCCCUUUUCCAACCUGUAUCAAUUUUUACAACUUUUUUCCUGAAAGCAGUUUAGUCCAUACUUUGCACUGACAUACUUUUUCCUUCUGUGCUAAGGUAAGGUAUCCACCCUCGAUGCAAUCCACCUUGUGUUUUCUUAGGGUGGAAUGUGAUGUUCAGCAGCAAACUUGCAACAGACUGGCCUUCUGUUUGUUACUUUCAAAAGGCCCACAUGA
rnacentral:lncRNA from 1 species